UCUUAGUGCUUAGUGAUUGGAUUUAUUUGAAAUUUUGGAAGCAUCAAGCUUUAUAAGCUGAGCUCUAGAAGGCACAAAUUUUGUUGAAUUUGAAGACAGUCUGAAUUUUUAGUGAAUUUCUAAGUGAAGAGGAUUGGUCACCAUGGCAGUUUGGAUCACUCAACUUCAAAGGAGGAAUUCUCACGACUGGAUCAUUAGAUUGCAACAAGGAUUGUUGGAUCAAAAGCGCCUUUAAGUCAACCUUGCAACAAGUUAAGAAACAUUCAAAUUGAAGCCGAUUACAAAUUUUGGCGAAUUUUGGAGUAGAAGGGAGUGGAUGCCUUCAAUCCUUACGUAUUGUCAAGGUACCUUCGCUAUUACCUCUCACUUUAUUUUUACUAUCGUCUUCACAGUGACUUGUAAGCUCCACAUUUCACUUUUUAGCUAAUAAAUUUUAAAUUUUAACUUUUAACCUUUAAUAUUCUCACUUUAACUUUAAUUUUUAUUUUUAUUUUUAAUUUUUCACUUAAUCUUUAAUUUUAACUUUUAAUUUACUUUUUUUUACUUAACCUUUUAAUUUUAAAUUUUAACUUAACCU
rnacentral:lncRNA from 1 species